GUGUGAAGGAGACCCCAGUUGAGGCAGAACAUUGCAGGUAAAGAAGGGGAAGAAGAGGCCGAGAAGUCGAGGGCCAGACUGUGAAGGAGAAUAAAGGAGGUCAAAGAGAGGUCAUAUCGUCGUACCUCACUUCCUGACACAAACAAGUUUUUACUGUUGUCAGCAACAAAGCCCUAAUAUAGCUGCGGAAGAGAAAAACUGCAUUGCAUUUGCCUCCUGCAAGCAUCAUCAACACGGUUACCGGAGGAAUGUAAUUCCAGAAAAGCUUUAAAGCUGGUGUGAUGGUAAUUAUGUAUCAAAUGCCUGAUUCUAUUUCUUGUUAUUAUUUUGUCAUUUCUGAUCUACUCAAGAGCAGGCUGAACUUGCAGAGGGACAAAUCCAGUUUUUCUUUUUCCCUUGGUAAAAUUUAAUCGGACCUGAUACAAAACUCAUUGCUCUUGGGGAAAAUAAAGUAGGAGCCGCGAAAUGUAAUUUUAACAGAGCGUGGGUUUUGUGACUGUAGGAAAGGAUUUAAGGACGCGCCUUCUGUUCGGUUUCCUAUGUAAUGAGCAAAGGCUACACGCACGCACAGACGCCACAGCUCCCGGAUGCUGUGGCUCACUUAUCUGGGCUUCUGCAGCACCAGAAGCCCCUCCGGGAUGCUGCGAGGGGCUCUCGGUGGGUGGUGGUACAAACGCUGCGGCCGCUGCCGCCAGUCCUGCCGCUGCUGUUGUUGCUGCUGCAGUCACGUGGGAGGCCCUUUAAGUUUCCAUAGAGAGGCCUCUCCGGUGUCACAUGAUGGACAUGAUAUAAUGAAACAACAUUGUGGAGAGGAAAGCAUUAGGGGAGCCCACGGCUACAAAAACAAGUGAGUGAGAAGAGGUGGGAGGAAGAGAAACUACGCCACCUCCCCUGCAGCCGAGCCGCACGCAGCAGCAGCCCGCGGCAAGUGGGCGACGCCGGGGGGGAAGGGAGACCCGGUCCCCAGCCCCGGCCCGGGGACCCCGCUGCCCACCGCCAAGAGAACAACUUUUAGCCGGCAGCCUCGGCCAGCACUGCACCUGUCUCCGGAGCCUCCAUCGCUCCUCGUGAUGAUCAAAGGGGCAUUCUAGAAGAAUAUGUUCUACAAAUAUACAUGCGCAUCAUUUUCCCCCUUGCGUCUCGCUCCGGAGGAAGGAAAGAGAAAGGGAUUUAAGUAGCGGCGUGUGUUCAGCCCCAAGCUUGCCUUUCUUCAGAGAGAGUCUGAGGCAACCCUACAGCAAAAAUACAUAAAAUGAAAAAGCAUAUAAGAGAAAGUCAGAACUAAGAAAAAGUGUGAAAAGAGUUGGGAUAUUUUAUCAUCUGGAGUUUCUCUGCCUCGCUGAUGAUCUAAGCUCAAACCUGCCAGUUUAUGGGAGAUGAUAGAAAACACCCUCUAACAUCUGAGUUGCAAAAAUAUCUGCCUCUAAGAACUCAGGAGGACCUGCUUUGUGGGAGCAAAGGUAGUGAGUCAUACCUGCAAGCUUGGAAACGAGUGUUCACUUGCGCCUCUUCAUCCAGUCGGGACGUUUCCUCGGCAACCAUUUAUGCAGCAGUUAAAAGAUGAGUUAAGAGCGCUGGCAAACAUCUUCACAUCUUCACCUUUUUUAUGGGGCACAAGAAAGCACCUUUAAUGGUGGGUGAAUACACAGGCUGCUUCGGACCAGGGAGCCUGGAUUUGGGACACCUGCUGUUUACAGGCAUUGUUUGGGAACACCAGCUGCCUCCCCCCCUUGACCCCGUACCUGGAGACCUUGGGACCUGUGGGAAGCUGCAGAAGUUCCCCAAAACUCAGAGAGGAGAAGGCACUGGGCCUGUGGGAAGCUGAGUUUGACUCUGUCCUCUCCCCUGCAAAAAGGUACCUUCCCAGCAAAUGAUGUGGGAAAAACGAGUGUGUUGAGGUGACCCAGAGGGUUUAAGGCAGUUCUGCUCAUUCUGGCACAACUAGGAACAAGCACGGUUAAAGGUAACAUGUGAAGUGUCCUUUCCAGCUUAGCCUGUCGUGCAUCUGGCACCACCAUUCAGUUGUUGAGGGCAUCAAGAAAUUACAUAAAGAGAUGAGAACAUUGACUCAUUAAUGUGUUCUUUCAAACAGGAAUUUGUAAGAUCUUAAGGUCUUGAGACUGGCCACACUCUUCUCAGUUGAAAAUGCCAUUGUCUCAGCUGUUCAAGAACCAGAUGUUGGAAACCUAAUAGUACAGAUUCUAGGGCACCUGCUGAGCUAAGUGAAUGGAGUAGAGAGAUGCACAAAGUAGAAGGAAUUUUUCAUUCUUCCCUGUGUCCUUCUGUUAUGGACUGUAUGUUUGUGUCCCCCAGAUUCAUAUAUUGAAGGCCUAAUAACCUCCAGUGUUCGGUAUUCAAAGGCGGGGCCUUGGGGAGAUAACAGGUUUAGAGAGUGGUGUCCCCAUGAGGGAUUAGCUUGCUUGUAAGAAGAGGACGACCAGAGCUUGCUCCCCCCACCCUCACUCCCCCGUGAGGACACAGUGAAAAGGGGGCCGUCCCGGAGCCAGGAAGAGAGCGCUCACCAGAGCCCGACCAUCUGGCACCCUCACAUUGGACCUAACAGCCUCCAGAACUGACUUCCCUGGUGGCACAGUGGUUAAGAAUCCACCUGCCGAUGCAGGGGACACGGAUUUGAUCCCUGGUCCGGGAAGAUCCCACGUGCCACGGAGCAGCUAAGCCCGUGCGCCACAACUACUGAGCCUGCGCUCUAGAUCCUGUGAGCCACAACUACUGAGCCCAUGUGCCGCAACUACUGAAGCCCGCAUGCCUAGAGCCCGUACUCUGCAACAAAAGCCACCUCAAUGAGAUGCCCGCGCACCGCAACGAAAAGGAGCCCACGUUCGCCGCAACUAGAGAAAGCCUGUGUGCUGCGAUGAAGACCCGAUGCAGCCAUCAAUAAAUAAGAGAAAAUGGAAGAAACGGAGGUACUUUUAAUGGAAUAGAAUAAACCACUGAACAGGGAAGGAAGAAAGGAUGGAGUUUGAACUGAUUUGCUGGGAAUCAUGUUCAGAAUGCAUCCAGGAUAUCGAAGUGUAAAAGAGUGCCUUGAUUUUCCCACUGAGAAAAAUGAGGAGGCUGCGAUAUACCUGUGGACAGGAUCAGAAGCUUUACUUCUCAGCUCAGAACUUGCCAUGUCUCUUUCCGGCUCAGGAAGUAUGAUGCUCCACACAGACAGGCGUCGAUGUACGAGAAAGUUAAUGGUGCAGAAUGCUGCUGCCUGCGUGGUUCUCGUCUUAAUACAUUUUCCAGCCUUGAACCUGAGAAUGCCAGAGGCUCAAGUCUCUGAAUGCUCGUCUGAGCCAUUAUCUGCUGGUGGCCUGGUUCCUGAGCUAACAAGUGGGUGUCCCAGGCGUGCGUGUGGUAAUAGCAGCAGUGGUGCCACGUGGCGCCCAGAGGUCGCCUUGGUCUGUCCUGGAGAUUCCUGGUCCUCGGUGAAGCUUCUGAGUUGAACUGUGAACUUGGGGCAUCCUGAGAAGCGCAGGCAUUUUGGAGUUCCACAGCAAACCUGGAUGUUAAGUGUAAACACAGCUUAUAAAGUGAAAGCAGGGGCCUUGAGGAAGGGAAUUACCCUCAUCUCGUUCCCGACCUGCUUACUGUGCUGGAAAACAAAGUUCCAGUGCCUCGCUCAGAAGAUCCCUGAGGCCCGCUUCUCUGCCCUGGACCGCGUCUUUACCUGUGUUCCUCUCUUUUCCUCGUCCGUUCAUCUGCUGACACCUGUGCAUUCUUAGGAGUCGUCUCAGACAUAAGCUACCUGAAAGGGGAGACUUUAUUUCUCUGUGUCACAGUGUCUGGCAUAUCACUGUUGCUCACCACUAUAGAGGGAAUAAAGGGAGACAGGAUAAAAGCAGGCCAAGACCCAGAUCACCGACUGAUUCCUCUUGGGCAUGAUGGAGCUCGGGAAAGAACUAAGCUGAGCUCCAGGCCCAAGAGCAAAGGCACAGCCAGUCAGUGCGGGCGAAGAGAAGUCCGUCACCUCGCGGAGCUGGCCAGCUAAGCUCUCCUUCCAGCCCGCCGUCCUGCUCCUCACUCAGAAUGCUUCUGUGGAAGAGUCCAGGCUCCAUGGCAGGACCCACCCACCUAUAUUGCACACCUUUUUGAUACGUGCCCUAAGUACCGUCCAGAGUCUAGGUCUCAAGAAUUAUUUGCUGAUGGACUUAAUUACUUAUUUGACAGGUGGCAAGAGCACAUCCUGAAGUGUCAAUUAAGAUCUGUGUUAAAUCAACUGUACUUCAAUUUGUAAAAAAAGAACAGGGAAGGGAAAAAAAUGGCGUGUGUUUCUGACCGUCUGUGGGUAUGAGGCACUGCGCUGGCCUCUGUGGGCCAGCAGAGAGAAGGCAUUGUUCUGUGCCUGCAAGGAGCUGACCGUCUAGCGGUCUAGCUGGGGAGAAGACAGAGCACGCAGGCCACAUUAGGGAACGAGAUAGCAGAUGUGAACGUGUCACAGGCAGUGUGUGAUUACUUGCCAAACAAAGAGCUCAAGAACGUGGUGGGGAUUGAGCAAGAUAAUGUACGUCCAAGUGCCUCAGCCCUUCAGCGCCCGAGCCCAGCCAGCCCUGCCGUCCGCCUCUCUCUCACACCCUGUUGAUCCACUGCAUACGAUGUAGGUACUCGGCCAGUGCAAAGCCCCUCAUGCCCAGGCCCCGGCCCACCUCCCAGCCCUGUGUGCCCCCCAACCCUUCAACCCAAAGCUGCAGAGAUACCGAAGAGAACUCGCCGUCUUAUUUCUGUAGCGCCCACCAUCCUUCCUUGUCCAACCUUGUCCCUCCGUUAAAACCCUCCUUUUCCUUUAAAAUUCAGCCUAGAGUUCUUCCGUAAAGCCUGCUGGGUCUGCAGGCAGAGCUCCUUCCACGUGCUAGGCGGCGAUGCUCGUGUGCUUCUGUCCUGCCAGGGAUGUAAACUCCUGCCGCAGGGACAGUGUCUUUUCCCUUCAUACUCGAAGCACCUGACACGCUGUCUGACGUGGAGCACACGUCCCUUAAGUGUUUGUCGUUGACAGAAAGGACUUAACACAUUGGAAGGACUGCGUAAACAUCGGCUGGCUUUGCACGGUUAAGACGUAAGUGCUGUGAGUACAGGAGAGGGUGACAUGCCCGAGUGGUCCAGGGAGGCUCCGUAGAGCGAGAAGGGAAUAGUGAACUGAACCUUCGCGGUUUUGUACACCUAAAACAGGCAAGGAAUGAGAAGGAUCCCGGGUGGAGUAGCUCAGUGUCUGUGGCUGCUGGCAACCCAACCGGCCUCUCAAAACAGAAAAACAGACCAGAGGGAGGGAGCCCCGCAGAGUGGGGCGGUGGAGGCAUCCGAUUUUAGUUGGAGCAGAGGGUUUACCUAAAGGAAGUCGAGAGAAUGCCCUGGAGGAAGUUUGGACUUAGGUGGAGAAAAGACCUCAAAAGCAAUGGGCUAUCUUGCUGGCAGCGGACGCCCUUUGUUACUUUUGAAAACCAUGGUGACUUGAUCAAAGUGGUGUUGAAAGUGGGAGCUGCCCUGUGGCCCUGACUUUCUUUUAUACUGCAGCCAGAGGCCCAGGUGGUGACCAAGAUGCUUAGCCCCCAGGUGUGAAGCCCCUCUGCUACGCAGAGCCUCACCUGGAAAGGCUCUAUAAACAAAGGUUUUCCUUCUGAUGCUGCCCUUGACCUGGCUCUGAGCUGUUGAUUCUUUGGGUCCAUUCAGCUCUGUCCUGUCCUUCUACCCUCGUGACUGGCAAUGACCUGGAGAGUGGCAGCACCCCUGCAGCAGGUGGCCUCCAGAGCUGAGUCACCGCCCUGGGAACGGUGCCCUGGCAAACCGGGAGCUCUCCACUUCACCCGGCUCUGCAAGGCUCUCAGGGUACCGCCAGAGCUGCGGAGAAAGCUUUAUGCAUCUAGAGUGUCACCGAGCUGAUAGGAAAGUGAAAUAAAGGCAAUUGAAGACCAAAAAGGAAACUGUCCUAAUGGUAGUUUCUAGCUGGUAUCUUUGGCAAAGUACAAAGAGUUUUUCUCACAAGUAUACUUAUGGGCUGUGGUGGUUUUAUUUGAACAUACCAAAAUUAUCCAUUUACGGAUAUCUUUAAGAAUGGAAUGAAGAGGAUUUUAAAACGAUGGUUUAAGAUUCUGUUAGACCUUGUAAAUUAAGAGAGCUUAAGGAAUAAAAUGAUACGAAGAGAUAUCUUAAGCUGUCACUAUUCUCGGAAAUGAGCAAAUGAGGUUUAGGGGUUCUUUAAGUUUUCUUUAUCAAUCAUAGAUACUCUGAUGGCUGUUGUUUUUAAAAAAUUAUGGUGCUUUUAGUUCAUCCCAGAGAAGAUAAAAAUGUAGUGUUGUUCUUGAAAGGAGGGUUGUUUUGUUUUUGUUUUUGAUGUUUUUUUGUUUUGUUUAAGUCUGGCUUGUUUACUACACCAAUGAAUAGAGAUGACCUCAGUCUAAAAAAACAAGUUAACCAUAAUCUCUCUCCCUUGCCUGGCAAAAUAAGCCUUUUUCAAGUAGCAAAAGAAUCGCAAGUCUGAUCACCAAGUCAUCAUUUUAGCUGAUUAGAUUUUACAAAAGGCAAAACAGAAGGCUCUCUACAUUUUCACAACUGAAUAGCUCUUAGGAAAUACUCCCAGCUUACUCAGUUCCUAUAAGGCUGUAACAAGUCUGGUGACAAUUAAUCAGACAGUUGCCUGAAUGCGAAUGCUCUGUGUGGUUAACUGCACUGUGGCCACUGUGAGCUUUCAGAAUCCGAGAAAACAGCAUCAUGUCUCUUGCUUUUUGAGCAUGCACUACUUUAACUUAAAAAAAAAAAAAAAAGCUUCAUUUUUAAAAAUUUCACACAUCGUGUGCCCAGCUAUCUGUUCUCUACAGCUGAAGUGUCCCUGAAGGCAAAAACGCAGUCAUUUUCUUGGGCAAAUUGUCUUGAGCACUGGGUUUUUUCACAUGCUCUGACCACCCUGGGGCAGUUUUCAGCGGGCCGGGGAACUCGCUGCUUAGUUGCCAAAGAUGCUGUGAGCUGUGACCAGGAAGUUGGGUUUUCUCUGUUACUAUCUUGUUUGCUUUCCGUGGGCCACACAAAACUAUGGACGGUCCAAAGUGUUCCCGGUUUCUCGAAGGCAGGAAGAAUUAAUGCAGCUUCUACUAGCAACCAGAGCCAUAUCCUGAUUCCUAAAACCUUUAUGAUCUCAGAUCAAUAAAGGCCAAAUUGAAAUGCAUUUGGAAGUUAGAGGUCAGUUGAUUCUAGAAUCCAUUCCAGUCGAAAGAAUCUCUAGACUCACUGGAUUUGGGCGUGCAGUUUGGAGAGAAGAUUUUAAAAAGAGGGCAGCUUUAUUCUUUGUUUUUUGACCUGUGUUGGACGGGAGAACUAAUCUGCUUUGGGGGUAGAAGUUGCAAAGAAGCCAAUCCCCGCGGCCAUACAGAAAGGUGAAGGAGCAUUCGCCCCGGGCUCGGCACGCCCGCCUGUAAGGAAAGCCGGCAAAGGGCACCAGCCUGACAGGCAAAGGGCACCAGCCUGACAGCGUUGAAGCAUCCGAGCGUCAGAAGGCUCUUGAGAAGCACUCAGGCCCCGAGGAGUUAAAAGGCAGAGACAGCCAGUCAGCAGGUGCCCGCCUGGGCACGGAUUUGUUCAUCCUGCCCUUCGGAAGUCAGAGCCAACCAACAUUCUUCAUGGUUUUGAGUGAUGCAGAGUGUCUCUCUCUUGGCAGGGCCACUUUCCACUCAUGGGCUUACGCCUGAAGCCCCUUAGGUGCAGGCCAGAGUGGAGACCAGCCUCACGCUUCAUGUCACAUCUUAGAGUCAUUUUAGAGCACAAGGGAAACUGUCACAGACAGCUGCUUGUUUCAGAGAUGGGGAGACUGAACCAGGGGCCGCGGUCGGCCGGAGGUCACGGCGCGGGAAGCAGAGGCCGGUGGGAGCCGGGCCGCCCUCCUCUGACCACACAGCUCCUGCCCCAGCGUGGCGGGAGAAGCUGCUGCCCUUGGAUGAUGCUUAGAAAAUGGCUUAGGUCAGAAAGGAGAACCUUAUUUGUACAGAAUGAAACAAAUCAGGUACUUACUUGUGUAGACAGCUUCUGCCCAACCUCCUUUGUCAGCCUGGUGAAUUUAUUAGCUCCUGGGCUUCCAAAAAUAAGAAUAAUAGCAUUUCUGUCUGUGCCGAAAUGGGAGACUUGAUAGACCCCUGUCUCUCUUUUUCUUUUUUUGGAUGAGAAUUAACUUAUUUCACGCUACUUUUUUUUCUUUUUUUUUGCGGUUCGCGGGCCUCUCCCGUUGCUCCAGACACGCAGGCUCAGCGGCCAUGGCUCACGGGCCCAGCCGCUCCGCGGCAUGUGGGAUCUUCCCGGACCGGGGCACGAACGCCGUGUCCCCUGCAUCGGCAGGCGGACUCUCAACCACUGCGCCACCAGGGAAGCCCCAUGCUACUUCUUAAUAAAACAAACGUCGACUCCUUCCCACAGGAGACAGAAUUGAGCAAUGUUCUGAGAGCACACUGCGCUCCUCGGGGCACUGAGUGAAUGUGAUGUUUAGAAGAUGCUCUAGAAGCUUGCACGUGUCUCCUGGGAAUAGAGUGAAGGGCGGUGGAGAUGGGGCAGAGAAGCCGCCGCUGGAGGAGCAGUGACUCACCCUUCCUGCAGGCCGGGCCUCGAGAAGCCCACGGGAAAGGACUCGGUUCCCCGUGAGCCCCGGCGUGAACCAGUGACCCCUGCUGGGCCCACGUGCCACCAUGUCCUCCGACACUCCUCCCACCACUUCCGUGUCCACAAGAGCUGCAGAGAAGGACAUGCCAGGUCCCUAGGUCUCUGCCAGCGGCUUCCCCGAUCCCCUGGGAGGACGAUGUCGCCUGUCUUUGUAUAAGGACAACACCCUGAACCAAGAGAUGGAUAGAGUUACUCAUCUGAGGAGGAAAACCCAGUCAAAGGAAGUUUCCCACCCACGGCCUCGGUGGUGGGGGCGGGGGGAAGGUGCUUGCAGGGUCCUUCCAGGUGGCACGGAGGCAGCUGUUACGGAUCGCUUUGUUGCGUUAACCGCAGGAUGAUUGAGUUAACUAAACAUGUCAGAAGUAUCAAUGAAGCAUGUCCGACAAGAUAUUUUCGUGGGAGGAGCUGUCCCGCAGUGCCAAUAACAGUGCUGAUCUUCUGAACAAAUGCCCCCUGAGGAUUUCUGUGCCUGGAAAAUAUCUGUCUACAGAUUUCUUUGACACCCUAUGUGCCGCUUCUGCUGUUCGGGACGAAAGCUGGUUUCAGUGGUUUGCUCGUGUGCUCAUUGAUGAAACCCUGCACCUCAGAGCCCGUUUAUGUUCAGAGGUCCACAUGGCCAUGUGAAGAUUGGCCGUUACAGUAUCUAUAAAGCACCAAGCAGCAAAGCAUGUUGACUGUCACUGAAAGACUCAACAAAGUAAGCAGAUACCACAUGCUGUCAUCCUGUUUACUUCUGUACGUCCUGGAAAGAGAAUGAACGAGCCCCUGUUAAUUUAUCAACUGGUUUGUUUUUUUUUUUCACUUCCCUACUAGUGAACAAUGCAAUUUUCUUCUCAGUGUUAAUUUGAUAGCCAGUCUGCCCAUGCAGACCGCUUUGCAGAAAACCGACCUCUUGCUGGACGAUUAAACACAAACAGAGGUCCAACUCAAGAUCUCUAAUUCACUGUAUUUUGUUUAAGUCAUUUCACAGUCACCAACUAGAUACCUCAGUUUCGCCCCAAGGGCUUACAGACUUCAGAGAAGUAUACUAUGUGACUGAUCUCUGUGCUAGUAAUUACUCUUUGUCUGCUGAAAAUGCCUUCUCGUGUGAAGAGACAUACAUGGGAAAGAAUAUAUCCACCUUCGUUCUUUGCUGAAUUUUUUGAAAAACAUACUUAAAGGAUAAUACAGAAAACUUACCAUAUCUCUUUGUUUCUGCUCAGGUAACAGAAUGGUAUGGUUGUAUAUGUGUGUGUGUGUGCGUGUGUGUGCGUGUGUGUGCGCGUGUGCGCGCGCGCGCGCGCAUAUAUGUGCAUGUGUGGGUGUGACAUAUUUGAUGUAUAAGAUAUGUAUGAUCUUAUCAGUCAUAAGUAAAAGGAAGAAAUUCACUCUUCAGGGAAACAAGCAAAAAAAACCCCAACAAAACAAAAAAACUUCUAAGUGGCAGUAAGCAAAAGCUGUAACUAGUCAUUUGUAAAAAGUAAGCAGACCUUUUUGUUCUGGAUUUUGAAUUUUUUAACUAAUGAGAACAAUCUGGCUGCAUCUUGCAUACUUCAGUCGUUGUUAUUAUCGAUUACAAUAGCAUAUCCAGAAGGAUACAGGGGACCCCUAAAUUAAUCACAAAAUUCGUGAAAUAGUUAUUUGAGAGUGCCAGUGAUUCUUGGCACUUUUUCAAGUUUAAAUGCUUGACUUUAUUAUCCAGUUGAAAUAUUUAACUGCCUGUCACUUGACAAAAUAUGUGCAUUUGUUUGCAGUUAGUGAGCUACUUUGAUGAAGUUAGUGACUGCUACCCAGUUCUGCAGCCCAUAGUGUUCUAUUUCCUUAUUUAAAGAGAUGAAAAAACUGUCCUAGUAGUGGUAGGCCCGUGCAGUGAUGCUUUUCCAUUGUGAAGGGUGAGUCUGCAUUGGGAUCUCCUAUUGAGGGGUAAGUGGCCAAGCCUGUCAGGGGUAAGAAUGGGAAUCAGACCUGAGCUGAAACCCCUGUCCCUCCUGGCUUAUUAACAUCCUGCUGAACCCACCUGAAAUCCUCAGCCACAGGCACAUUGUAAUUGGCUGUUCUUCCCACAGUCAUUUGAUGUAUGAGGAAAGUUAAAAAGAAAAGCUAAGUUUCUGUUAGUUUAUUUAAGCAAAGAAAGCAGAAUAAGCGAACGGUACAGCCAAGAUUAGAACCAUUCUCACAAGGUGACGCUAUCAUGAUAAAACCAAAAAAGGGUGGGGAAAUGUUUUAGGUUAAAAGAAACCAAAGAGUCUUAAUGAGUGAACCUCAACAGGAGUUGGGGUUGAAAACAAGUCAGCAAAACCACAAAAGAAGUUUUUUUGGAGAAAGUGGGAAAAGUUGGAUAUAGGCUACACGUGAGAUGAUGCUAAGAAAUUGUUAAUUUUCUUAGGUAUGAAUAAGAUAUUGUAACUAUAUAGAAGAAUGGCCUUAUUUUUUUUAGACCUGCUCAAGAAGUUAGGAAAACUGUCAGGAUGGUUCUUGAUUUACUUUCAAAUGAUUCAGCAGAAAGUAUACAUAUGUUGUACAUGUAGAUAACAUCACUAAAGCAAAAGUGGCAAAAAUGAACAGUUAUUGAAUUUAGGUGGAAGAAAUUUAGGAAUACAUUUAUUGUCAUUCAAAGUUAAUGUAUGUCGGGGCUUCCCUGGUGGCACAGUGGUUGCGCGUCCGCCUGCCGAUGCAGGGGAACCGGGUUCGCGCCCCGGUAUGGGAGGAUCCCACAUGCCGCGGAGCGGCUGGGCCCGUGAGCCAUGGCCGCUGAGCC